UUUCAUAAUCAUGUCCUCAUCUUUUUUUAGUAAUAAUAUCGAAAUGGCUUACCAUUGCCAUAAACAUACUAGCUAUGGUAUUUCUUAGUAGUCUUCUGUCCAAAUACUAACCAGAUCCAACCAUGUUUAACUUUCCAAGUUUAAUCAAGGUUACUUAGGUACUGCCACCUACAUGGGUUUCCUUUAGAACAAGGGUGUUAAACUGCCGGCCUGCGGGCCAGAUGCGUCAGGCCAAAACCGUGCAUAUCCCAUUGGCGGCAAUAGGGAAAAAAAUCACGAUAUGUCACGACGUCAUGUGACGUGAAUUUGCCACUCGUGCUUUAGAAGCACACUUCAAAUGAGCAUUUUCCAAGAAAUGUUGAUUUAUAGGGGGGGGGAAAUCCAGUUAAUAACCUGCAACAAUUUUGUUUAAUAAAUGUAGUGGUAGUGGGGGAAAAAAUACAUUCAAAAGCUUCUUUUUAGAGGUCACCACCCCACUUUGUUUUAAGAUUUAUUCUGGCCAUGAGAGUAAUAUUUCAAUGCUUCUUAACAAAUUCUUGAAAAGAAUGGAUCAGGGAAGUUCUUAUUGCGCUUGUAUAUCUUAUUUAAAGGGGAAAUGGAUUUAGACCCAUGAACUUGUUCCAAAAAUCUUAAAAGAAGAUAAACAAUUUAAAGUUACUUUUGAAGUUUUUAAAAAGAGCAUCUAUUAUCUAAAUGCAUUAAAUGCAUACUAGGCACAUUUAUGAAAUAGUGAUUAUUUGUGGAAAUGUUUGGCUUAUCCAUCCUUUUAAUGUAUCUUCCAAUUUGGCUCAGUGUUUGUCUCUGAGCAAGCCAUUAAUAAAAUAUUAAAUAGGACUGGUGAAGAUCUUUCCAAAGAGGACAAGACCUAAAUUGUUUAAACCUCUCAGCCUCCCAAUUUGGGAGAAUGAUUGUUGAAUUUUAGCAAGAUAAUGGCAGCCUUUGCUGAAGAAAAAUUACAUUCAGUAUGUCUAGAAAGUCCUUUUGACAAUUUGAUGAUUUUAGUAAGUAAGCAAAUAUCUACAUUCUCUAGCACAUCCACAUUCCUUUGUUCCUAUUUGGAAGAAAGACAGGAUAUAAAUCUAACAAAAAGUCCAAACUUGACACUGAACUGAAAUCUUGCAUUUUCCAUAAUUCUUAACAAUUUUUUUCAUGUACUAGGAUAUAAUUUUAUUUCCCUUCUUUCAAAUCUUGAUGUCUUAAAGAAUUAGAAAUUAAAGUACUAUUAGAAGUUGAUCUUGUUGUUCAAGUAUUAAUCAUAUUUUACCCAAGGCAGAAACACUUUCUUAUCUUUUGGUGGAGAAAAGCAUCCUGUUGCAUUUCAUCCAUUAUGAUAAUCUUUGACCAUUUAUUGAGCCAGUCACUCUUUCUCAGCCCAAUUCACAGGGUAGCUGUUGUGGGAGAAAUAGGAAGAAGGUUGCUGCCUUGAGUUAUUUCUAAAAAUAAUAAAGGUGGGAUAUAAAUAAAGUAAAAUUAAAUGUAAUAGGUAGGAGAGUAUUGGCCCACUGGAUAUUACCACAGGGUACUUCAGCAGGAAAGGGAAUUCUCAGGUAAUUUUUGCCCAGGUAGGGUAAAGAUAGCCUCCAAUUGAAAAGAGAGUUUCUAUUUCAUUUUGUUAAAACCACAAGAAGAAACUUUUAACAUUUAGGCAAGAUAUCUCCAAGACCUGAAUGUCAGCUUAUGCAAACAUUUUCAAUAUGUUUUCCAUCCUGUGAUUAAGGCUUAUAAAAUUGCAUAUCUUGUCUGAAGGUAAGAAAAGAAGUACUUAACCAAGUAAGAGUUAUGCUAAUUUUAACUUCCUGUUCAAACCAAAAGAGAAGGGUUGUUUUAUUCACAUAUGUACAUGCAUUUUAUUGAGACACUUGAUUAAGUGUUAAUUCCAGUUUUUCUUAUGCUGAUGUUGCUAAAUCAGUACUGUAACACUUUUUAUUAGAAUAAUUAUUGACAAUAUCCUAUCGCUAAUCUUUUAUGUUUAAAAAAUCUCUUUUCUAUUUUCCCUCAGACUAAGAAGAAAAAGUAGGGAAAUCUUUCUUCUGUCUGAUCCUUUACUGUUAGUUGCCCAAAUCCUGUAGUGAAUAUUUGUUUUUUUAAUUUGCAAAUUCCCUAGGGCCUAGGGAAUGUGUAAAAAUGGCCUUCAAUUAUCCAGCAGGUCAGAAGAGAAAAAUUAGAAUUCCUGCUCAGUUGAGCAAUGUUUUUCUCUCAUUCUAUCCUGUUUUCUUUAAUGAAAAGAAGCUAAGCCAGAAGCUAUAUUAGCCAGCAAAAAAGAUCCAACACUGUAUUCGCCUUUCUCAUAUAGAAAGCAUCCUUUAUUCUCCACCUAAGCUACAUCCAGUGCCUCCAUUUUAGCAUUGAUAUGUGUGAAUGCUACAUUUUAAAGCUGUGGCAAGCAGCUUUAAAACUACAUUUUUAUUUUUCUGCUUUUCCUGUCAGUGGCUGAAUUCAUAUAUUUCCAUUAAAGUAAAUUGUGUCUUAAAAUCUCUGCUUCCCAUCUUUAUUUAAACUCACUCUUUCCCUCAAUAAAUGCAAAGUAUUGAAUUUCUCUUAAACUCUUAACUCAGUAUGAUAUACUACUAGUCUCAGGUAUUGUUUAAUAUAUCUUAUUAUUUAUUAUAUUUCCAAUUUGUGGUUUUAGUGCUGCCAUGCUGCCCAGCCACCGCCCAGAGUAUCAGUAGACCAAUCCUUUCCUGAGGCCAGGCAGCUACCUGGAUGUCCCUGCAGUUUUCUUGGAAAGAUUUCACACUAAAGAUUGGGUUGGAUUGGCUCUUUCCAAGUCCAGGAGAUAUCUUUGAAACUGUCUAUUCCAUGAAGAUGCUACUUGCCCGGUCUGAGGGGACAAUAGAGUGCCAUUAAAGGUCCUCAACUAUCAAAAGGUGUGACAAGAGGGGACCCAAAACAGUGCCUCUCCUUUGAAGCAACAAACAUAGGAUUCCUUUCAAAUAAUACUGAAGGUUUGAAAGAUAUUCUUAUUUUUUAAAAAAGCAAAGGAUACCUUUGACAUCAUAGGAAAGCAAGGGCAUUAUCUUUUAGCAAUGGAGAUGUCCCGAGCAGCUUUUUCUGAGAAGCGAACGGACAUACCACCAUCCCUCCCCCACUCCGGAGCAUGAGGAGACCGCUUCUUACUUUUAUAAACCACCCGCCUCAAUGUAAAGCUUGCCGGGCUUCUUGCAAGCUCAGUCGCGUCUGCGCGCCUGCUCAAGAGAUCUCGAAGCUUGGCUUUUUUCCUCCACAGCAGAAGAGUCGGGGAACUUUCCUAGCCGUCCAGCUAUCCGUCCACCCACGGAGGAGCAGUGGCUUCGUAGGCCCUCCCAUCCCGCUUUGAGUUUUAUAACCUGCCAUCUGGCUCAAAGCACUUCUCCGUUGCGAGGAGGCGGAGCUGGCAGCCCGCUGGGCAGAUGCCUUCUUCUUCUUCCUCUCCCUCCUCCCUGAAAUGACAAGAGUAGGACGCUGCUGGCUGGGUUGCCCUGCAGGGAAAAUUUAUAUAUAAGGUGUGUAUUUAAAAUAUUAGAAUGUAUGAGUAAAUUGGGAUAAAGGAAUUGUGUUUAAUUAAAAAUUUGGAAAAAUUAAAUAUUAAAUGUAAUCU